AGAUUUGCUGGGUUUUCAUAUUCCAAGAAAGACUCUGGCAUUUCAAUACAGAAACAAAGCUCCAAAUUUGGAAGCAGCAGUGAAACUCCACAGAUUACUGAGGGCAAAAUUGCUGGGUCAUAUGGCACCAAGGAAAGGUCUUGUGCUGACACAGGGAGAAAGCUGUCAUUUACAAGCUGGGAGGAGACCUUCACCAGAAACUGAAUUUGCUACCACCUGGAUCAUGAACUUUUACUCUCCAAAACGGAAGGAGGUGAUGAAGAGAGAAAGAAAGGAUGGAAGGAAGGAGGAAGUGGACAAUGAGCCCAGAGCCCUCACCUGAGUUCCAAACAUUUAAGUCAAACUGCCAACUUCAUUCUCCAUUUGGACGAUUUCUCAACAUGUACAAAACCAAGUCCUGAUUUUUCCGUGACCCCAAAUCUGUUCUAUCUGAAGCCUCCCUAUCUCAGUUACUGAGACAGAGUCUGUCUGUCUUUGUCACUCGCACUUCACGCUGGAGUGCAGUGGUGUGAUCAUAGCUCACUGCAACAUCAAACUCCUAGAUUCAAGCGACCUGAUCCUUCCACCUCAGCCUCCGGAGUAGCUGAGACUACA
rnacentral:lncRNA from 1 species